UGGGGAAUUUUGCGCAAUGGGCGAAAGCCUGACGCAGCAACGCCGCGUGUGUGAUGAAGGUCUUCGGAUUGUAAAGCACUUUCGACCGGGACGAAAACCCAUUGGCUAACAUCCAAUGGCUUGACGGUACCGGGAGAAGAAGCACCGGCUAACUCUGUGCCAGCAGCCGCGGUAAUACAGAGGGUGCAAGCGUUGUUCGGAAUUAUUGGGCGUAAAGCGCGUGUAGGCGGCUUUGCAAGUCGGGUGUGAAAGCCCUCAGCUCAACUGAGGAAGUGCGCCCGAAACUGCAGAGCUUGAGUGCCGGAGAGGGUGGCGGAAUUCCCCAAGUAGAGGUGAAAUUCGUAGAUAUGGGGAGGAACACCGGUGGCGAAGGCGGCCACCUGGACGGUAACUGACGCUGAGACGCGAAAGCGUGGGGAGCAAACA
rnacentral:rRNA from 1 species